UGAAAGCAUUUAUUGUAAGUCUCUUUGGAAAAAAGCGUCUGCUAAAUGAAUGAAG
rnacentral:sRNA from 14 species